GUAGGUGAACCUGCCGAAGGAUCAUUG
rnacentral:rRNA from 1 species